rnacentral:pre_miRNA from 1 species
AACAGUAAAAGUUUAUGUGCUGUGGCAUUUGACAAACCAGCACAGAAACAUUUACUGUUAA